UUAAGAAGGGCAAAAUAGAAUUUUAAUGGUCUUACCCCCCAAAUUGGUUCGAAGUAAUUAAAAAAAACGUCCGAAUUUUUAAAAAUUUUUCACUCCAUGUUUACCCGUGCCUAGGAAGCCUUACUUUUUCCCAUAAGAAAAGCAUUGGUUUUUCGGGAUUUUUAAUCGUUUUUUUACCGCUGCCGUAAUUAUCAGCUAAAAAAUCGCUAAUUCUCAGAAAAUGUUGACAGUUGUGUUACCUUUUAGUCCAAUUUUUUGGAAUUCGAUACAAGCAUUUUUGGGCUCGGAUUUUUU
rnacentral:lncRNA from 1 species